UCCCCAGACUCCUACGGGAGGCAGCAGUGGGGGAUAUUGCACAAUGGGGGGAACCCUGAUGCAGCGACGCCGCGUGGGUGAAGGAGUAUUUCGGUAUGUAAAGCCCUAUCGGCAGGGAAGAAGCAAGACGGUACCUGACUAAGAAGCCCCGGCUAACUACGUGCCAGCAGCCGCGGUAAUACGUAGGGGGCGAGCGUUAUCCGGAUUCACUGGGUGUAAGGGGGGCGCAGACGGCAGCGCAAGCCAGGAGUGAAAGCCCGGGGCCCAACCCCGGGACUGCUCUUGGAACUGCGCGGCUGGAGUGCAGGAGGGGCAGGCGGAAUUCCUGGUGUAGCGGUGAAAUGCGUAGAUAUCAAGAGGAACACCGGUGGCGAAGGCGGCCUGCUGGACUGCGACUGACGUUGAGGCCCGAAAGCGUGGGGAGCAAACAGGAUUAGAUACCCGGGUAGA
rnacentral:rRNA from 1 species